rnacentral:rRNA from 1 species
GAUGAACGCUGGCGGCGUGCCUAAUACAUGCAAGUCGAGCGAACAGACGAGGAGCUUGCUCCUCUGACGUUAGCGGCGGACGGGUGAGUAACACGUGGAUAACCUACCUAUAAGACUGGGAUAACUUCGGGAAACCGGAGCUAAUACCGGAUAAUAUAUUGAACCGCAUGGUUCAAUAGUGAAAGACGGUUUUGCUGUCACUUAUAGAUGGAUCCGCGCCGCAUUAGCUAGUUGGUAAGGUAACGGCUUACCAAGGCUACGAUGCGUAGCCGACCUGAGAGGGUGAUCGGCCACACUGGAACUGAGACACGGUCCAGACUCCUACGGGAGGCAGCAGUAGGGAAUAUUCGACAAUGGGCGAAAGCCUGAUGGAGCAACGCCGCGUGAGUGAUGAAGGUCUUCGGAUCGUAAAACUCUGUUAUUAGGGAAGAACAAAUGUGUAAGUAACCAUGCACGUCUUGACGGUACCUAAACAGAAAGCCACGGCUAACUACGUG